rnacentral:misc_RNA from 1 species
UAAUAAGUGUUUUAUGGCACUUUUUAAAUCCAUAUCCACCUUGUGUGCAAUGUCAGGUCGAUCUUCUUUUUCGUCAGAAAAGGAUCGACCAAACAUCAACCUUAUUCUAAUUGAACUCUUUGUCUGAAAAAUAUUAUGAAUAAACUAAUUCAAAAUA